GUGAUAGUGGUGGUGGUGGUGAUAGUGGUGGUGAUGGUACUAAAGCAGCUUGCAGGGAACCUCAAGCACCACUACAGUGUCAGUUGUGUCAAGAUAUAUUACUCAGCUCCUCUUCCUACUCCUCCUCCUCUUCCUUCUCUCAAAACAUGAAACCUCUUACGGUCCUGAUUCUUAUGUCAUCGCUGUUGGUGGCGUCCAUCAGCGGGAGGUACAUCGAAGACAGUCCAAACAGGGAGGGAGACACACCCGUGAAAGAACAACCGUGUAAUGAAGACCCCGCCGAUGAGCGCUGUAACCCUGGUGGCGGAGGGUCAGGAGACGGCACAGGAGGCGGGGAUGGGAACGGCGGAGACGGGAACACAGGAGGAGGCUCAGGAGACGGGAUGGGUGGAGGCGACGGGAACGGAAAUACCGGCGGAGGGUCUGGAGAUGGCAUAGGUGGAGGCGGGGAUGAUGGAAAUGCCAAUGGAGGAGGAUCAGGGGAUGGAGUUGGGGGAGGAAGAAGUGGACAGAUGUUGGAACUUUAAAUAGAACAACUGUCACAGGUGUGCAGUGGGCGGCGCGGCGAGUUGAGUGCAGGACGGGCAGCAGAAGGCGGCUUGAGGAACGCUGCUGCAAGAAAUGAUUAUGACUGGCACGAGUGACGAAUACCAGGAGGUGCUUCAAUUCCUCUUCAGCACAACCCACGAAACUUUCGUGAAAAACUAUUGCUUAAGACCCUCGAAUGAAACUUACAUAAUUCUUAACGAAAAUAAUUAAUUUUAUAAUAAAAAUAAAAUCUGAGCCCAGUUUUCCCCUGAGAAACGCAGAAGAAUAUUUGAUAUAAGAGUAUCGACACGGAGAAGAAAGAGUGAAUGAACAGCAGUGGCGGAGAUGGUAUGGAUUCUGGGAAGUUCGUCUGUCUCAAAGAAUGUAGUACUGGAGGUAGAGUCUUAUAAGAGUUUGCCUUUGUUGGAGGGGAGCGAUCAGCAAGUGUGUCUAGCUGGAUCAGGAGGCUUGACGACCAGAAUCAAUUAGUAUUUUCAGCCUCUUUUAAGUGCAGGAAUACGGAGCUCCAGGAGAAAAAUUUCAUUCUGGGUGUUUUACUGGCCUAAGAUUACAUAAUCUUUUCCCUGACAUUUAAAGGCAAGUAAAUGUAUCACCAACAUGUGACGCCACAACAAUUAACGCCAUAAAACGCAUAAAUGCAAAAUUGCAUAGAAAUACUAAUAACGUUAAAAUGAAAGGUAAAAGCAAAAAAAGAGAUACCAUUCAAAUGUAAAAGAAACAAAACAAUAUUCAGAAAUUCAAAACCCCAAAUAAAGACGAUUGAGAUUUGAAUGUACUAACUGCCAGUGACGCGACAGUGACCACACUGACCCUAAAUACUACGUCUGGCGUUGUUCGCUUCGUAACCAAGGCAUUGAACUGUGACGCACUGACCCAGGUGCUCCGACCCAGUGGUGGAGCAUGAAAACAAGAUUAUACUCACCGUGAAAGAAUCUACAUCAUAGUUUUAUUAGUCACAGUCAAGGAAAGUUACCAUUGUUACUUUUGCUUCAAAAGUACAUUAUUUCAAUUUUUAGAAUUUUUGUUUUUCACCAUUUCAAUAUACUAUGUAUAAUGUCAUACUAAAAAUAUGUGCACACCUUUCGCGAAAUAAAAUGUAUUAUUGUUAU